AUACUCUCAACCUUCUUGGUUUCUUUGGCCAUGAAGGCUUGGACUUUGGAGGUUUUUCUUGCUGGCCUCUUUUGAAGCCAGCUCCUCCUAAAUGAAUGGGUGGGGUCCGCUUUGCUGAUCCUCGACGUGAUAAGCAUUUCUUCUACGUCUUAGUGUCAGCUCGGAACCCCGCUUUCCAACCGUCUUUGCACAAAGACAAUGUUCGAGUUGUGACUCGACCUUACAAA
rnacentral:misc_RNA from 1 species